AUUGAACGCUGGCGGGAGGCCUAACACAUGCAAGUCGAACGAGUGGCGGACGGGUGAGUAAUGUCUGGGAAACUGCCCGAUGGCGGGGGAUAACUACUGGAAACGGUAGCUAAUACCGCAUACUAUCGGAUCGGCCGAGAUGGGAUUAGCUAGUAGGUGGGGUAAAGGCUCACCAAGGCAACGAUCCCUAGCUGGUCUGAGAGGAUGACCAGCCACACUGGAACUGAGACACGGCCCAGACUCCUACGGGAGGCAGCAGUGGGGAAUUUUGCACAAUGGGCUAAAGCCUGAUGCAGCCAUGCCGCGUGUAUGAAGAAGGCCUUCGGGUUGUAAAGUACUUUCAGCGGGGAGGCGUUACCCGCAGAAGAAGCACCGGCUAACUCCGUGCCAGCAGCCGCGGUAAUUC
rnacentral:rRNA from 1 species